GACGAACGCUGGCGGCGUGCUUAACACAUGCAAGUCGAACGGAAAGGCCCCUUUGGGGGUACUCGAGUGGCGAACGGGUGAGUAACACGUGAGUAACCUGCCCUUGACUUCGGGAUAACUUCAGGAAACUGGGGCUAAUACCGGAUAGGAAUCCUUGCUGCAUGGUGGGGGUUGGAAAGCUUCGGCGGUUUUGGAUGGACUCGCGGCUUAUCAGCUUGUUGGUGGGGUAGUGGCUUACCAAGGCUUUGACGGGUAGCCGGCCUGAGAGGGCGACCGGCCACAUUGGGACUGAGAUACGGCCCAGACUCCUACGGGAGGCAGCAGUGGGGAAUAUUGCACAAUGGGCGGAAGACUGAUGCAGAAACGCCGCGUGCGGGAUGACGGCCUUCGGGUUGUAAACCGCUUUCAGCAGGGGCGAAGCUUGUGGUGACGGUACCUGCAGAAGAAGCACCGGCUAACUACGUG
rnacentral:rRNA from 1 species